UCACUUUGUCUCUGCACAAUGAACAUUAUCAAAUAUUAUUAAUGUUGUAAAAUAUAUUGUUCAUUGUUAGUUCAUAUUAGCUAAGGCAUUACCAAAUGUUAAGGAAUAAACUCUUAUAGUAAAGUGUUACUAAAUUUUCUUUUACCAUUUCCUUCACAAUGUCUAUUUAUUUCUAUGGCUAACAGAUUUUGUAACAUUUGUCUUUUUUACAGUCUUACCAUUGCUUGUAAGCUGGAUUGGGUAAGAUGGAUCAUCUUUAAAGGCACCAGGCAAGUACAUGAUGUACAGUUACAAGUCAUGUAUUUUUUCGACUGCAAUAUUAAAUGCUUUCACGUCACAUGCAAAAUUACACAGGAAUGUGGCUGACUUUUUAUUUGUAGUUUACAUGAGUGUCCUUGCACUUUUAUAGGAGUUAAGGCAGAUGUGGAGGCACAACGGGUGAUACCAGACACACACCAAGCACAUUAUGUUUGGACAUUCAAUCAUGACAUGAUCCAUGUGGAUGCUGUCCAUUGAGGAAAGAGUUUGUUCAGCGGUAAGUGAAUCUUCUGUAUUUUAAUGUAAUUAGGUGUGGAACAGUAGAAUAAGAGCAAAAGGUUUCUGGAUAGAAUUAAUUCCAAAGAUGGGAAAAAGUGCACAUCCAGACAAGGAGCAAGCAAAAAGACAAGGAACUUGGUGCAGAGAAAAGCUGUGGCCAUUAACCCCCAUGUGAACAGCUUCAUGCAGUCCCUGAUUGAGUUCGAAUGGACGACUUCAAAGUAAAGGCCACUGUGGUCUGUCUGCCACAGUUUAAUUUUUAAUUUAUUUUUAGUGUUCAAUGAAAUUCAAGUAUAAUAUUUAAAACUAUGGGCCAGUGUUGUUUUUACCACAGUGAAAUGUUACCUUUUAGUCGAUGAUGGACUUUAAACUGAAAACUUCAAACUAUGGAACAGUGUUCUAUUUGCCAGAGUUAAAUAUGUUACAGCAGGGGUCUCCAAACUUGUUUAUACUUGUU